rnacentral:rRNA from 1 species
AGAGUUUGAUCCUGGCUCAGGACGAACGCUGGCGGCGCGCCUAACACAUGCAAGUCGAACGAGAGAUGAGGAGCUUGCUCUUCAAAUCGAGUGGCGAACGGGUGAGUAACGCGUGAGGAACCUGCCUCAAAGAGGGGGACAACAGUUGGAAACGACUGCUAAUACCGCAUAAGCCCACGGCUCGGCAUCGAGCAGAGGGAAAAGGAGCAAUCCGCUUUGAGAUGGCCUCGCGUCCGAUUAGCUAGUUGGUGAGGUAACGGCCCACCAAGGCGACGAUCGGUAGCCGGACUGAGAGGUUGAACGGCCACAUUGGGACUGAGACACGGCCCAGACUCCUACGGGAGGCAGCAGUGGGGAAUAUUGCACAAUGGGGGAAACCCUGAUGCAGCGACGCCGCGUGGAGGAAGAAGGUCUUCGGAUUGUAAACUCCUGUUGUUGAGGAAGAUAAUGACGGUACUCAACAAGGAAGUGACGGCUAACUACGUGCCAGCAGCCGCGGUAAAACGUAGGUCACAAGCGUUGUCCGGAAUUACUGGGUGUAAAGGGAGCGCAGGCGGGAAGACAAGUUGGAAGUGAAAACCAUGGGCUCAACCCAUGAAUUGCUUUCAAAACUGUUUUUCUUGAGUAGUGCAGAGGUAGGUGGAAUUCCCGGUGUAGCGGUGGAAUGCGUAGAUAUCGGGAGGAACACCAGUGGCGAAGGCGGCCUACUGGGCACCAACUGACGCUGAGGCUCGAAAGUGUGGGUAGCAAACAGGAUUAGAUACCCUGGUAGUCCACACCGUAAACGAUGAUUACUAGGUGUUGGAGGAUUGACCCCUUCAGUGCCGCAGUUAACACAAUAAGUAAUCCACCUGGGGAGUACGACCGCAAGGUUGAAACUCAAAGGAAUUGACGGGGGCCCGCACAAGCAGUGGAGUAUGUGGUUUAAUUCGA